UAUACCAUGUUGUAGCUCUGAGUCUCUACUUUUAAAGUGAGGUUACUUUCCCAUUACUCCUCAACUGUAGUGUAUGAUAUACCAUGUUGUAGCUCUGAGUCUCUACUUUUAAAGUGAGGUUACUUUCCCAUUACUCCUCAACUGUAGUGUAUGAUAUACCAUGUUGUAGCUCUGAGUCUCUACUUUUAAAGUGAGGUUACUUUCCCAUUACUCCUCAACUGUAGUGUAUGAUAUACCAUGUUGUAGCUCUGAGUCUCUACUUUUAAAGUGAGGUUACUUUCCCAUUACUCCUCAACUGUAGUGUAUGAUAUACCAUGUUGUAGCUCUGAGUCUCUACUUUUAAAGUGAGGUUACUUUCCCA